CUGUACCCCAACCCCAGCCUGAUGGUUCUGUCUUUCUCUUCAUUUCACUUUCUGGGGCUCCAGUUUGUUUGUUCCUUGUUCCACCUCCAGGAAAUAGGCCUGGCACUUUGGGAAAGUCCCCACUUAGAGGAGAGACCCUGGGCUUUGUUUGCUUGGGGACGGAGGGAGGGAGGAGGGAGCCUGGGUCAGGACCACACCCCCUCUCCUUCCCCUCUGGGUAGGUCUCAUGGCCUGGGACCACCUGGGCUGGUGCUGGAAGGACAGGACAAAUAGGCCACCCAGGGGCUCUGGCAGAGUAGAGAGGACUCUGCAAAACCUAGGUUCUGACUCCCACCGUCUGGAUUUGAAUCCUGAUUCCAUCAUGCCCUUUUCUGUGACUUUGAGAAGAUGCCUCAUCUCUCAGAUGUUCUUCAUGAAAUAUGAGAGGAAGAUACCAUCUACCUCCCGGCCUGGUAGAGAGGGUUCGAGACUGACUGCAGGUGUGGAAUGGUCAGUAGGGAACCAAGCACAUAGGAGGCACUUUUGUGUUAGGGCCUUGCCGCUCCCAGCAGGCCUCCUCCAGUAAGGGUGAGGGCAGAGGGGGUGGCAUAAAGCAAGAGGAUCUCAGUAAACAUCCCAGGUGAUUGGGACAGGGAGCACCCAGCUCAAGGGAUGGAAGGUGACAGCUGACUGCAUGUAGAGAAGGCAGCAAGAUUGGAGAACAGGCAGCACGUGGGUACAGCAGCCAGCAGUCAUUCAACAAACCCUUGCUGAUGCUGGCCUGGUGCUGGCUGCUGUGGACUCAGAAAUAAAUCAGCCCUGAGCCUUUCCUUGUGGGUUCCCCAGGCUGGGGUGAUUCAUUCUCUCACAGAAGGGCAAAUAGUGUUUAGGAUGAUGUUGCAAUUUCAGACUCAGUGAACACUGAAAGGGCCCCUAAGGACAGACCUGCCAGUCCUUCAGCUGGUUUAUUUGUGUUUUGCUAACAUUUACAGAGCACAUAUGACAUGCCAUGCAACCCCUGAGUAUGUUAUAUGUGUCGUGUCAUUUUUUCCUCAUUUUAUGAAGAGGAUAUGAGGCCCAGAGAGUGGAAGUGACUGGUCCCAGGUCACACAGCUAGAACAUGGAAGAACUGGGAUUUAAUACAGAAUCUGCCACUGGCCCCCCAGCAAUUCUUUUUCUCCAGACUCAGGCCUCAUGAGAAAACUGGCAAAGACAGGCUGGCUCUUUCCAUGAUGCUAUGAUGUUGAAAGAUCCUGUUUGUCCUAUUUAAGAAGGUGGGAAAGCACCUUUGAACCUCUUUUAAUGGGUUAUUUUGUCAAAUAGUUUUAGAAUGACUCCAUAUAUCCAUAAUUUGUAAAAAUAAUUUUAACUUCAUCUCAAUAAUUUCACAAAAUAUCCCAUCAAAAGAGGUGCAAAGGACUAUGAUUAUUUAUUUAUUGUUGUUACAUGUAUGUGAUACAUCGGUAAUAUAGGGUAUUUGCUUUUUUUUUUUGUUGUUUUUUUAGGGCCAUACCUGAGACUUUAUGGAAGUUCCCAGGCUCGGGGGUAGAAUAGAAGCUACAGCUGCCAGCCUACACCACAUCCACAGCAAUGCUGGAUCUGAGCCACAUCUGCGGCCUACACACUAGCUGAAGGCAACACCGGAUCCUUGACCCACUGAGCCAAACCAGGGGUCAAACCUGUGUACUAGUCGGAUUUGUUUCCACUGCACCACGACAGGAACUCCCAGAAUAUUUCUUUUUUAAAUUCAGAGGAAUGAGUGGUAUUAAUCCAGAAUCAAAAUCAUUAUAUUAAAAUGGGACAUUGGGGAAAUAACUCUUAAAAAAAUAAUAAUAAAAUAAAACGGGGAGACUAGUUAGCUUCGGUCAUAUACACAAUUUGUAAGAAAUUCUGAGGAUGAAAAGACAUGAGAUCAUGCAUGUUAGGGAAGAAGGUGCAAAUCAUGUCAUAGGUAGAAUUAGAAUAUAUUGAAUCAGUAGAAUCAGUUACUUAUGAUCGUAGUAAAAUUAUUGUCGGGUUAAGAACCCAGCUAGUAUCCAUGAGGAUGCAGGUCAAUCUCUGGCCUUGCUCAGUAGGAUAAGGGUCCCGAGUUGCUGCGAGCUGUGGUGUAGGUCGAAAAUAUGGCUCAGAUCCCACAUUGCUGUGGCUGUGGCAUAGGCUGGCCGGUGCAGCUCCAAUUUGACCCCGAGCCUGGGAACUUCCAUAGGCCAUGGGUUAGGCCCUUAAAAAAAAGAGAAAAAUUGGGGGGGGGGGAUGUUUUAAAUGGCACAAUGGAGAAGGCACAUUUUUUGUUUGUUCGUUUGUUUGUUUUUAGGGACUGCAGGUGAGGUAUGUGAAAGUUCCCAGACUAGGGGUCUGAUCAGAGCUGUCGCUGCUGGCCUUCACCACAGCCACAGAAACGCAGGAUCUCAGCCGCAUCUGUGACCUACACCACAGCUCACAGCAAUGCUGGAUCCUUAACCCACUGAGAAGGGCCAGGGAUAGAACCCACAUCCUCAGGGAUACUAGGUGGGUUUGUUUCCACUGAGCCAUGACGGGAACUCCCGACAUACUAGGUUUUAGAUGUAGUUGGCUUUAGUUUUACAAAAGUCCCUCUCAUCCCUGCCAUAUAAAGGAGGUGUUCUUUCUAUGUGAUUCGCCUGUUUCCGCGAAUGAAGGGGGUUGUGCGUGGGUUCCACGUGGUGUCCCUGUUCCCUUUCCACCCCCUAGAACCAAAGGCUGGGAAGUAAAUCCUCCAAGAACAGAGAUGUCUUUCCUUUUCUUCCCUUUUCUCCAGUGCCUGGACCAGUGCCUGGCACCUAGUGUGCCCUCAGUGAAUGUGAGAUGAAUGAAAGAAUGCAUAGAAGAGUGAGCCACCAGGGGAAGGGUGCAGAGCAGAGCAUUUGGGCCCUGUGGGACCUGCACCUGUCUGGGCCUGGAGAUGGGACAGGAACACCCUUAGCUGCGUGGGGAGGCCCGGCCUUCUAGACAAAACCCCCUUCCCUCUGCCCUGCCCCACCUAUUCUGCUCUAGCUACCCAUUCGCCCCACCACCCUGGGGCCACUGUAACCAACCACCUGGCCCCAGAGGCGGGUCUCAGCCCAGCCUCACCCCUCCCAGCCAUUGACCAGAAACAGCAGCAGCCUGCAGUGGAUGGAGACAUUCAGAGAAGCCAACGUGGAAAGGGCACACGGGAGGCGUUCAUUCAGCUCACCUGCUUGUCUUCUGUCCCCCUCUUCCGUUCCUCACCUUCUGGAAGAGUAAAAAGACCAGGCCAAAGCAGCAGGGCCACCUGGUCAAGUCAUCCAUGCCUCUGCCUCCACGCCAGCCCGACCCGACUCCACUCUCAUGUCUGGGCCAGGCCGGACCCCCGCUGGGCCAGGCCCCAGGGAGGUAGCCUUUCAAGGGGAGAGAGGCCCGGGCUGCAGGCCGGGUGGGGGAGCUGCCCAUAAAUCAGGCCCCACUCCCACCCAGUCGCUAACAAGCGGGGCUGGCUACCCGCCUACGUGGGGUCCCUGCCUCUGGGCUCCCACAGCGGCCUGGAACAGCCAGCUGGCCAAGGCCUCCAGAGUGCCUU
rnacentral:lncRNA from 1 species